rnacentral:piRNA from 1 species
UCGAUUAAUGCCUCUACAAUU